AACGAGGCCGACCUGCGGCUGAGUUACCUGCGGAAGGAUCAUUACAAGUGACCCCGGUCUAACCACCGGGAUGUUCAUAACCCUUUGUUGUCCGACUCUGUUGCCUCCGGGGCGACCCUGCCUUCGGGCGGGGGCUCCGGGUGGACACUUCAAACUCUUGCGUAACUUUGCAGUCUGAGUAAACUUAAUUAAUAAAUUAAAACUUUCAGCAAUGGAUCU
rnacentral:misc_RNA from 1 species